AGAGAGAGACAUGCGCGCAUAUCAAUAAGCGGAGGAAAAGAAACUAACAAGGAUUCCCUUAGUAACGGCGAGUGAAGCGGGAAGAGCUCAAAUUUGAAAUCUUCAAGGUUUACCUUGACGAAUUGUAGUUUAAAGAAGUGUUUUCUGCUGAAGUUUUGGUAAAAGUUCUUUGGAAUAGGACAUCAUAGAGGGUGAGAAUCCCGUAUUUGACCAUUAUUUUCAGCUUUGUGAUACACUUUCAAAGAGUCGGAUUGUUUGGGAAUGCAGUCCAAAAUGGGUGGUAAAUUUCAUCUAAAGCUAAAUAUUGGCGAGAGACCGAUAGCGAACAAGUACCGUGAGGGAAAGAUGAAAAGAACUUUGAAAAGAGAGUUAAACAGUACGUGAAAUUGUCAAAAGGGAAGCGUUUGACACCAGUGUUGUUUUCUCGAAAAUCAAUUAAAAAUGGCUCGAUUUUGUAUUGCUUGAGACCUUAAAAGCUCACUGUACAUUUUUCGUGUCUUUUUUAAUGCACUUUUCGUUUAACAAGUCAACAUCAGUUUCUUUUGUUGUAAAAGGGUCAUUGGAAGGUGGCUUUCUUUUCGGAGAAAGUGUUUAUAGCCUUUGGCCUCUGCAAUCGGAGAGACUGAGGUCUGCAGCGUAGACUCUUCGGGGUUAGAUACAUUUGUGCUAAGUUAUAGCUUUUCAUAGACAACUUGUUGACUAUGAUCAGUCAUGUAGCUUACUCGCUUAUGCUAUUUACCUACGCUUAGGAUGUUGAAGUCAUCGUAUCGCGC
rnacentral:rRNA from 1 species